GAGGUUGUGGCUCAGUGGUAAGAGCGCACACCUAGCAUGUGUGAGGCACUGGGUUCAAUCCUCAGCACCACA
rnacentral:tRNA from 1 species